GUAAGUUAUGUGGGUCAAGGUAUGGUGAUUAAUUGGAGUUCUAGUUCAUUUACUUUGAGAAAAUUAGAGUGUUUAAAGCAGCCUCUUGGGGCACUGAAUACAUUAGCAUGGGAUAAUAAAAUAGGAUCUUCACAAUAUAUUUUAUUGGUUUAAAUUGGAUAUGAAGAUAAUGAUUAAUAGGGACAGUUGGGGGUAUUCAUAUUGGGUGGUUAGCGGUGAAAUGCUCGGAUCCAUUCAAGAUGAACUAAAGCGAAAGCAUUUACCAAGGAUGUUUUCAUUAAUCAAGAACGAAAGUUAAGGGAUCGAAGACGAUUAGAUACCGUCGUAGUCUUAACUAUAAACUAUGCCGACCAGGGAUAUGAGUUGUUAGGGAUAUAUGAAAGUAUAUCCAAUUUCUUCUUAUGGACCUUGUGAGAAAUCAUAAGUUUUUGGGUUCUGGG
rnacentral:rRNA from 1 species